UUCGAUUAUGGCUCAGAUUGAACGCUGUGGGAUGCUUUACACAUGCAAGUCCGAACGGCAGCACGGACUUCGGUCUGGUGGCGAGUGGCGAACGGGUGAGUAAUGUAUCCGGAACGUGCUGUGAUGCGCAGGGGAUAACUACGCGAAAGCGUAGCUAAUACCGCAUACGCCCUUCGGGGGAAAGCGAAGUACUUCGGGCCUCGCACUAUUAGAAGCGGCCGAUAUCGGAUUAGCUAGUUGGUGGGGUAACGGCUCGCAAGGCGACGAUCCGUAGCUGGUUUGAGAGGACGACCAGCCACACUGGGACUGAGAUUACAGCCCAGACUCCUACGGGAGGCAGCAGUGGGGAAUUUUGGACAAUGGGGAAACCCUGAUCCAGCCAUCCCGCGUGUGCGAUGAAGGCCUUCCGGGUUGUAAAGCACUUUUGGCAGGAAAACUGGCUGGGAUAAUACCCCGUGCAACUGACAGUACCUGCAGAAUAAGCACCGGCUAACUACGUGCCAGCAGCCGCGGUAAUACGUAAGUGCAAGCGUUAAUCGGAAUUACUGGGCGUAAAGCGUGCGCAGGCGGUUCCGGAAAGGAAAGAUGGCGAAAUCCGGAAGCAGCAUUUGGCUACAUUUUUGUACCGAGCUAGAGUGUGUCAGAGGGAGGUGGAAUUCCGCGUGUAGCAGUGGUACGUAGAUAUGCGGAGGAACACCGAUGGCGAAGGCAGCCUCCUGGGAUAACACUGACGCUCAUGCACGAAAGCGUGGGGAGCAAACAGGAUUAGAUACCCUGGUAGUCCACACCGCCCUAAACAAUCAACCAGCUGUUGGGGCGCUGGGGCCUUGGUAUGCAGCUAACCGUGAGAGGAUUGACCGCCUGGGGAGUACGGUCGCAAGAUUAAAACUCAAAGGAAUUGACAGGGACCCGCACAAGCGGUGGAUGAUGUGGAUUAAUUCGAUGCAACGCGAAAAACCUUACCUACCCUUGACAUGUCUGGAAUCCCGAAGAGAUUUGGGAGUGCUCGCAAGGAACAGACACAGGUGCUGCAUGGCUGUCGUCGGGAAACUCGUGUCGUGAGAUGUUGGGUUCAGAUCCGCAAGCAAGCGCAGCCUUGACCAUUGGACUACAGGCGCUCUAAUGAGACGCGAUGACAAACCGGAGGAAGGUGGGGAUGACGUCAAGUCCUCGCAAGGCACUUAUGGGACAGGGCUUCCGCAUCAUGCAAUGGUCGGGACAGAGGGUCGCCAACCUUGAGGGGAGCCAAUCCCAGAAACCCGAUCGUAGUCAGGAUCGCGAUCUGCAACUCGACUGCGUGAAGUCGGAGAGAUCCGCUAGUAAUCGCGGACCAGCAUGUCGCGGUGAAUACGUUCCCGGGUCUUGUACACACCGCCCGUCACCAUGGGAGUGGGUUUUGCAAGUAGUUAGCCCAACCGUGGGAGGGCGAUUGCAGGCAGGAUUCAUGACUGGGGUGAAGUCGUAACAAAGGUAG
rnacentral:rRNA from 1 species